CACAAGAAUUUGAUACCAUGAUAGACCUUUUCUUUAUUAACCACAGUUUCUGGUCCCCGCUUAGUGGGGCCAACUAAUCUGUGAAAUCUCGGCGUGACGAUCAUAUAAAUCUCCGGUGGCCAAGCGGAAUCGAACUGCAAGUACCUCUAGGACAACCCCCGCUUGGUUCCAUGAUAGAACUUGGCUUGACCAACCCCGCUUGGUUCCAUGAUAGAACUUGGCUUGACUUCUUUGUUUUACUUCGAUUUCUAUGACUUCUUCUGGUCCAUAUUAUUUCAACUUCCCUUAACUUCAAGUUAUUGACAUGAUCGUAAUGCAUUCAAACCUACAUUUAAAGUAUGUUUUGACUUCAAAGAAAAUGAAUUCCCUUCAAGAUCUCAACAAAGCACUUGCUAAUGUCUAUGGUCCUGAUUAACUAACAUUUAUUAAAUUCAAAAGAGAAAUAAAAUGCUCCUCUUUCUCCAAUAUCUAUCUGAUCGCUAUGUUAUAAACCUAUAUAAUAAGAAAACGACUUAAUUAUUCUCCAACAAUUGUUUUUUGUGUGUGUGCUAAAUCUCCACAAUUUUGGUUAUCUACCCCAAAAGAAAAGAAGAAGAAACACAAAUUGCUGCCAUCACGCGAAAAGAAUCCGAAGCGCAAUGAUUAAAAUAUGUUCAGUGGUGUACUAAUUGACUAUUGUUCACUAACGUGAUAAUAAUCUAUUAGUAAAUGGUACAAUUAGUUUACUUGUUGUAGAUUUCAUUAUCAGUUAUCUACUACUUACGAUAGUAAACUAUAUAUAAUCAGUUCAUGUGAAUCAGGUGGAUCGUAUUAUUAUUAAAAAUUAACAACAAUGGUAGUUUAUCCCUAUCAUUAUAUGGUGGUGUUUCUUAUAAACCAAAAAGUUUACGAUUAGUUAAAUAUGGUUACUUACAACAAGUGAGCAGUGAAGUAAAGUUGGUGGAAUUGGCACCGACGGGGAGAGGUCGACGUCAGUAUUGGUCCCCGUAAUCUCCGGUCUUUCUUUGUCUUACACAUAUCAGAACAGUUGAUGGUAAGAAAGCUUUUGAAACUUUUGAUUGUUUCUUCUUUUGUUCCGCAUUUGUCGCUGCGCGGCGUGACUUACACUUUUGAUA
rnacentral:lncRNA from 1 species